rnacentral:rRNA from 1 species
UACGUAGGUGGCAAGCGUUGUCCGGAAUUACUGGGUGUAAAGGGCGUGUAGGCGGGACGGCAAGUCAGAUGUGAAAUACCUCGGCUUAACUGGGGUGCUGCAACUGAAACUGUCGUUCUUGAGUGUCGGAGAGGAAAGUGGAAUUCCCAGUGUAGCGGUGAAAUGCGUAGAGAUUGGGAGGAACACCAGUGGCGAAGGCGGCUUUCUGGACGAUAACUGACGCUGAGGCGCGAAAGCGUGGGUAGCAAACAGGAUUAGAUACCCCCGUAGUCCCU